rnacentral:rRNA from 1 species
UACGAGACGCUAAGGCGUCGAAGUAGUGUAUGUCAUACUUCCAAGAAAAGCUUGCACUGUCAUAGAUAAAAAACGCCUGUACCAUAACCGACACAGGUGGGUAGGUAGGGUAUACUAAGGGGCGCGAGAUAACUCUCUCUAAGGAACUCGGCAAAAUAACUCCGUAACUUCGGGAGAAGGAGUGCCUUAUUCGUAAGGUUGCAAUAACAAGAUCCAAGCAACUGUUUAUCAAAAACACAGGUCUCCGCUAAGUCGUAAGACGAUGUAUGGGGGCUGACGCCUGCCCAGUGCCAGAAGGUUAAAGAAGUUGGUUAGCAAUUGCGAAGCUGAUAACUGAAGCCCUGGUGAACGGCGGCCGUAACUAUAACGGUCCUAAGGUAGCGAAAUUCCUUGUCGGGUAAGUUCCGACCCGCACGAAAGGCGUAAUGAUUUGGAUACUGUCUCGGAGAGGGGCUCGGUGAAAUAGACUUGUCUGUGAAGAUGCGGACUACCUGCACCAGGACAGAAAGACCCUAUGAAGCUUUACUGUAACUUGAAAUUGAAAUUGGACUUUAUUCGCAGUAUAGGUGGGAGGCGUUGAUUAUAAUCUUGUGGGAUUAUUGGAGCCAUCAGUGAGAUACCACUCUUGUAAUGUUAGAUUUCUAACUUUGAAUCAUUAUCUGGUCAAAGAACAGUUUCAGGCGGGCAGUUUGACUGGGGCGGUCGCCUCCUAAACGGUAACGGAGGCGUACAAAGGUUUCCUCUGAACGGUUAGAAAUCGUAUCUAGAGUGUAAAGGCAUAAGGAAGCUUGACUGUGAGACCUACAAGUCGAGCAGGGACGAAAGUCGGUCUUAGUGAUCUGACGGUACUGAGUGGAAAGGCCGUCACUCAACGGAUAAAAGUUACUCUAAGGAUAACAGGCUGAUCUCCCCCAAGAGUUCACAUCGACGGGGAGGUUUGGCACCUCGAUGUCGGCUCAUCGCAUCCUGGGGCGGUAGUACGUCCCAAGGGUUGGGCUGUUCGCCCAUGAAAGCGGUACGCGAGCUGGGUUCAGAACGUCGUGAGACAGUUCGGUCCAUAUCCGGUGUAGGCGUUAGAAUAUUGAGAGGAGCCUUCUUUAGUACGAGAGGACCGAGAAGGACAUACCUCUGGUGUACCAGUUAUCGUGCCAACGGUAAACGCUGGGUAGCUAUGUAUGGAGUGGAUAACCGCUGAAAGCAUCUAAGUGGGAAGCCCACCUCAAGAUAAGUAUUCUCAGC